rnacentral:rRNA from 1 species
CGUCUAUAUACGUAUAGCAUAUCAAUAAGCGGAGGAAAAGAAACUAACUAGGAUUCCCUCAGUAACGGCGAGUGAAGCGGGAAGAGCUCAAAUUUGAAAUCUUCAAGGUUCUACCUUGACGAAUUGUAGUUUAAAGAAGUGUUUUCUGUUGGAGUUUUGGUAAAAGUUCUUUGGAAUAGGACAUCAUAGAGGGUGAGAAUCCCGUAUUUGACCAUUACUUUCCAACUUUGUGAUACACUUUCAAAGAGUCGGAUUGUUUGGGAAUGCAGUCCAAAAUGGGUGGUAAAUUUCAUCUAAAGCUAAAUAUUGGCGAGAGACCGAUAGCGAACAAGUACCGUGAGGGAAAGAUGAAAAGAACUUUGAAAAGAGAGUUAAACAGUACGUGAAAUUGUCAAAAGGGAAGCGUUUGACACCAGUGUUGUUUUCUCGAAAAUCAAUUAAAAAUGGCGGGAUUUUGUGUUGUAUUGACUUUAUCAGCUUUCUGCACUUUUUUCCUGUCUUUUUUAAUGCACUUUUCGUUUAACAAGUCAACAUCAAUUUCUUUUGUUGUAAAAGGAGUCAUUGGAAGGUGGCUUUCUUUUCGGAGAAAGUGUUUAUAGCCUUUGACUUCUGCAAUCGGAGAGAUUGAGGUCUGCAGCGUAGAUCCUUCGGGGUUAGAUGCAUUUGUGCUAGGCUAUAGCCUUUCAUAGACAACUUGUUGACUAUGAUCAGUCAUGUAGCUUACUCGCUUAUGUCAUUUUACCUACGCUUAGGAUGUUGAUCUGUAGUGCGUGCGC